rnacentral:lncRNA from 1 species
GCGGUAAAUAAAAAUUUACAAUUGGUACUCCUCCAAUGAGAUUAUAUAAUAAACAACAUUAAUUAAUUACAUUCUAAAUUCUAAAUCUGCCUUUUUAUCUUUUAUACAGAUGUACAAUGCUAGGUACUUGUACUUCCUUGAAUAAAUUUUACUCCCUUCAGUAAUUCAAAACCUAAUACCCACAAAAAGAAAAAAAAAACCACUUGUAAAAUAUGGUUUCAACUAAGAAGCAAUGGAAUAUACUGCAUUAAUUAAAAGGCUUUUUGAGAGAAAUCAUGAAGUCUCUGCCACGAUUCUUGUCGUUGAAUUUUCAACUCCAUGUAGAAAUUCCCAAUAAAUGUUUCAGCUUUAUCAAACAACUGUUGCGCACUAACUUCCUCAAUCUCCUCAUCUUCUAAUUCUUCCUUUACGACGACCUCAUGAUCUUUUGCUUCACUAUCCUCGUUACCAAUGAAAAACAAGCUCGGUGUUGAAGGACAUUUUAGUAAUUUCACUGCAUCAUUCUCCAGUUCUUUUGUAAUUUUCUGAGAAGCACAUUUUUCAACUACGCUAGGGGAAAUUAUUUGUUGUUGUUUCAUAAUAAUAUGAGGAGAUGAAGACGUGUUGUCAUGUGGGGAUUUGGAGGAAAUGAGGCCAGCUUCAGCACCUAAGGAGAUGAUGAGAUGAGGAUAGUAGAGGAGUGAUGAGUACAAGAGUGGCUAUGAGUACAAGAGUGGCUAUGAGUAAAAGCUUUACAACUUGGGAUUUCAUAAUCUUGUCCAUCCAAGUAUUGUUUUCCUUUUUUAUUUAAAAGGAUGUUGCAGCUAUGAAUGUUGGAGAUGGCUUGAUGAACAAUAGAUUAUAGUUUCAGGUCGACAGACAGGUGAUCGAUAAUUAUAUAUGGCAGGGUUAGGGGCCAACCUUCUUAUUUAUAACGAAAGAUGAAGAGUGUAAAAAGGUUGUUAUUUUUAUUUGUCUUCAUCCAAUUUAUUAUAUAAGAAAACAACGAGAAAAUGAAUUUGGAUGUAAUUAUAUAGGUUGAUAUAUUUGUUUGGCCAAGUAAUUCUUUAAUCAGUAUAUUAUUGAG